CAAUAGCGUAUAUUUAAGUUGUUGUAGUUAAAAAGCUCGUAGUUGGAUUUCGGAUGGGAUUUGCCGGUCCGUCGUUACGAUGUGCACUGGCCAGUCCUAUCUUGUUGUCGGGGACUAGCUCCUUGGAUUCACUUCCUGGGACUAGGAGCUGACGAGGUUACUUUGAGUAAAUUAGAGUGUUCAAAGCAAGCCUACGCUCUGAAUACAUUAGCAUGGAAUAACACGAUAGGACUCUGGCUUAUCUUGUUGGUCUGUGAGACCAGAGUAAUGAUUAAGAGGGACAGUCGGGGACAUUCGUAUUUCAUUGUCAGAGGUGAAAUUCUUGGAUUUAUGAAAGACGAACUUCUGCGAAAGCAUUUGUCAAGGAUGUUUNCAUUA
rnacentral:rRNA from 1 species